GACCUAACCCCCGAUUUUCGGGAUAUGGUCUAAAAACUCAUCCUACAUAGAGACGGUUUUCCGACCAGUACUUGUAGGAUGAGUCUACUCUCGAAAGGGGGUAGUGAUAUCUCCGAAAGGAUUUAUCA
rnacentral:sRNA from 1 species